rnacentral:lncRNA from 1 species
CCCCUGAUGACGUCACCGCACUGCAGCUUCUAGUAGCUUUUCGCAGCGUUUCCAACCGCCGGGCGCGGUGGCGCGUGCCUGUAGUCCCAGCUACUCGGGAGGCUGAGGUGGGAGGAUCGCUUGAGCCCAGGAGUUCUGGGCUGUAGUGCGCUAUGCCGAUCGGGUGUCCGCACUAAGUUCGGCAUCAAUAUGGUGACCUCCCGGGAGCGGGGGACCACCAGGUUGCCUAAGGAGGGGUGAACCGGCCCAGGUCGGAAACGGAGCAGGUCAAAACUCCCGUGCUGAUCAGUAGUGGGAUCGCGCCUGUGAAUAGCCACUGCACUCCAGCCUGGGCAACAUAGCGAGACCCUGUCUCUUUUGCCCUCCUCGCCCACUAAGGGUACCUUUGUAAGUGGAUAGUGUCAAGAAGUUUGCCUCCUUUCAGCUUCAUACGUAUUAAGAAGCAUACUAAUGUGCGCAUUUAAAGACGAGCCCACUCUUCCUCUAAGGGCAAAAAUAUAUGCAGAGAUGUUACUGAGGUUUACAGUCGGCUUACUCUCUCCACUCUUCUAUUUAUCCACUAUUUUACGUUUCCUUUAGCGUUAAAACUCACCAGUCGACGGGAUGCUCGGGGACUUGCAACCACCUCAUCGCUGCCCCCUACCGGCGCAUAUUCAAAACGUCUCUGCGAAAAGCUGUUAUUACCCUCGGAGCCGACAGGGGCUGCUCGUUUACCCACAGCCAGUCGGAAAAAAUGGCCGCCAGACCACCGAGAGCAAAAAGGCUAACUUUCCGACGAGAAACCCCACUACUGCCUCCUUAUAAGGGGAAAAUUCGUCUCAGAGGAACCCAUAACGUCCUGUGAUGACAGAGGUGAGGGGCCAGCGUGGCAGAAUGCAUCACCUUGUCUCCCUGCUUGCUUCUCUCUCCGUUGGAUUGCCAAAAGGUAACGGCACCUAGACUCCGAAAAGUAAUUGAAGCAAAGGGAGUUUAAAGAACGCACGCGACGGCCUGGGUCUUGAACCCAGUGUUAAAAACCUCUGCAUCCUCCACUGAGCUGUCUUUGAGCAUGUCUCAUAAUCAUGCUUCAUUUUUUAAAAAGAAAUAAGUGAAUACCCUAUGAAAGAAGACAGCCUUUAAAUUUUUCAAAAGUUCUUGGUGGUCUGUGAUUAGAAAUUUCAUCUAUAUGAAAUAACAGUUUUGGAGGGCUUACUGUUAAAUUCAGGCGUUU